AACUUUUGGCAAUGGAUCUCUUGGCUCUCCCAUCGAUGAAGAACGCAGCGACAUGCGAUAAGUAAUGUGAAUUGCAGAAUUCAGUGAAUCAUCGAAUCUUUGAACGCACCUUGCGCCCUUUGGUAUUCCGAAGGGCAUGCCUGUUUGAGGGUUAUUAAAGUCUCAACCUUUUGAACGCUUGCGGUCACUAGGCUUGGAUGUGAGGGUUUUGCUGGCUUCCUUCAGUGGCGGUCUGCUCCCUUUAAAUGUAUUAGUGGGAUCCUUUCUGGAUCGGUCACUUGGUGUGAUAAUAUAUCUACGCCGCUUGUACCGCGAAGCAAAACUUAUGGGAACCUGCCUACAACCGUCUAGCAAUAGACAACUUUUGAACCUUUAACCUCAAAUCAGGUAGGACUACCCGCUGAACUUAAGCAUAUCAAUAAGCGGAGGCU
rnacentral:misc_RNA from 1 species